GGGUCAGUAGCUCGAAUUGGAUAGAGCACCGGACUCCAAAUCCGGGGGUUGCAGGUUCGAAGCCUGCCUGACCCG
rnacentral:tRNA from 1 species